AGGAUCAUUAUUGAAAUAAAUCUGAUGAGUUGCUGCUGGCUCUCUAGGGAGCAUGUGCACACUUGUCACCUUUAUAUCUCCACCUGUGCACCUUUUGUAGACCUGGAUAUCUGUCUGAAUGCUAGCCAUUCAGGAUUGAGGAUUGACUUUAUGUCCUUUCCUUACAUUUCCAGGCCUAUGUUUCUUCAUAUACCCCAAUUGUAUGUCCUAGAAUGUAAUCAAUGGCCUUUGUGCCUAUAAACCUAUACAACUUUCAGCAACGGAUCUCUUGGCUCUCGCAUCGAUGAAGAACGCAGCGAAAUGCGAUAAGUAAUGUGAAUUGCAGAAUUCAGUGAAUCAUCGAAUCUUUGAACGCACCUUGCGCUCCUUGGUAUUCCGAGGAGCAUGCCUGUUUGAGUGUCAUCAAUAUAUCAACCUCUUCGGCUUUUGCUUGUCGAGUGUUGGAUGUGGGGGUCUUUUUUUGCCGGUCUUCUCAGAUCAGCUCCCCUAAAAUGCAUUAGCGGAACAAUUUGUGGACCGUUCAUUGGUGUGAUAAUUAUCUACGCUAUUGACGUGAAACAGUUCAGCUUCAAGCAGUCCAUUGACUUGGACAAAUUUUUAUUAAUGUGACCUCAAAUCAGGUAGGACUACCCGCUGAACUUAAGCAUAUCAAUAAGCGGAGGAAAAGAAACUAACAAGGAUUCCCCUAGUAACUGCGAGUGAAGCGGGAAAAGCUCAAAUUUAAAAUCUGUC
rnacentral:rRNA from 1 species